ensembl:lncRNA
CUGAGAUGAAAGUCAAAUAUGGUAACAUUUUUCUUUCAGUUUAUUCAUAAGGCCUCUGGAAACUAAUGAGAUUUAUUCUGAGAAUUAGUUUAUAAUUGUGCUUUAACUGCACUGUGACAUUUAAUAAUGUCAGAAGGAUUUUGCUUUAGGCAGAGUGAUUUCAGUCUCUGUAGAAAAUUAAUUACCACUUUCUGAAUAAACUACAUUUUUUUUUCCGUGAGCUAAGCAAUAUUUUCAAGGUUAAGCUGCUUUCUGAUAUUUUGAGAAAGUCUUAGAAAAGUAUUAAUAUUUAAAAGAUGUAGAUCUAGCACACUGGUUUACAUACGUUAUUAUACAAUAAGCUGAUUGCAUUAAGCAGUCACAGGCCUUUUCUGUUACUGGCCAAGUUUCCAAAAGGAUUACUGAUUUUGGGAUCUUCAGGUUUGGGCUGUUCAACUUGAGACUCUCGACUUCCAGGCUGGACUUGUAGGGAAUGCUGAACCAUCAUCCUCUGAAAAAUCAAGCUCCUACUGACUUCAACGUGUUUGCAUUGGGUUCCUAUGACAAGAUUUGUAAAGGGAGGGAAGCUCUGAGUUGCUUGGUAUCUCAGAGAGAUGAUGCUCAAGAAAAAUGUAAGAGGAAUGAUAAUAUUUGGAAAGCCUCUGAGAACCAUGUCAGGAUGGAGGAAGCUGCUGGAGUUAAACAGAAUCCUGAUGUUAAAAGCUUGUUAUUCUUGAUGAGCAGCAUCAAGCCUCGGGUGCUUCCAAGUCUUAUUGAACAAUCACUGAGGACCAGAGGAAGGAAAAUACAGUGCUCCGGACUGAGUUGUCUGCACUUCGCCAAGCUUUGCCAGGCUCGCUGGCUAAGUGAACAGACACAACUCAUUUGUUCAGCGGUAAAGAUGAGUCUACUGAAGGAGGAACAUAGCAGGGAAGAGUCUGGCUUCAGGAGCAAGCAGCAGAGAGAACAACUUUAGCUGGACUGUUUGUUUUCAGGAAACCAGGUGCUUCUUCUUGGGACAUGACCCCUCAAAAGCUAAGAAGUUUGGAGACUAGACCCUUGGACAAGUUGAUCUCCUAGACCGUACUGUGG